rnacentral:rRNA from 1 species
AGCAGCCGCGGUAAUUCCAGCUCCAAUAGCGUAUAUUAAAGUUGUUGCAGUUAAAAAGCUCGUAGUUGAAUUUCGGGGUUCUACCGUUGGUCGGGCUUUGUCUGUACUGGCGUGUAGAAUUUCUACCUUCUGGGGAACCGUCAUGUUAUUAAUUUAACGUGGUGGGAAACCAGGACCUUUACCUUGAAAAAAUUAGAGUGUUCAAAGCAGGCUUAUGUCUGAAUACAUUAGCAUGGAAUAAUAAAAUAGGACGUGUGGUUCUAUUUUGUUGGUUUCUGGAACCGCCGUAAUGAUUAAUAGGGACAGUCGGGGGCAUCAGUAUUCAAUUGUCAGAGGUGAAAUUCUUGGAUUUAG